GGGCCGCUAGCUCAGGUGGUAGAGCAACUGCCUUUUAAGCAGUGGGUCGAAGGUUCGAGUCCUUCGCGGCUCACCA
rnacentral:tRNA from 1 species